rnacentral:SRP_RNA from 1 species
ACAGCAGCUGGCAACAUUUCGGAAACAACACCUUUACCCGC